UCUUUUUUGUUGAUUCUCUCAUCCUUGCAACUGUGAUCUGUAAAUGCGGUUUUCCAUGUGAUAUAACUUGGCAUCCCUACUUCUUCUCUACAGUAUGCACCAUUGUAUUUUUACCUUGUGGGAGGAUUUUGCUGAGAUUGAUGGAAGCGACCUAGCUGCACAAAUUGAAGAACAUCCAGUAAUCCUAGCAAAACGAAUUGCACGGUCUUCAUAUGCUGGGACAUCCUUGACAACAAGAUACAAUUUUGUAAUAUUGAUAAAUCCAUCCUAUCCACAGGCUGCAGAAUUAAUGAACUGUUAUGAGAUAAAUAUGUGACAAAUGGUACAGUUCUAUACAAAAAUCUAAUUGUGUAUAUGACCCAAAAUAAUAUAACUAUGUUCAUUUACAGGGCAAAAGAGAAUGAAGAAAUGUUCAGCACAUAUACGCAAAGAAGUUCUCCAGAAACAGCUUCAUCGCCAAUUCCUAUAUCACUAAAUGAUGAAGCUAUACCUAUAGGAAAUAUCCAAGCACAACCUGCGAUGAAAUCUUUUCACGUUGAAGGUAAAUUAUUGUUCUUUUGGAUGAUGAGCAGUUGUUUUAUGAGUUAAUGUGUUCAAAAUGCAAGAACUUUGUUAGGACCAAAAUAAUAAAGGCUAUUGACUGUGCAAACUGUGAUCAGCAAGCGAUGUUAACACCCAAGUGCCGCUUUCAAGUCCAAAUUGCAGAUGGAAGUGGAUCGACAAUUGCAACAUUAGUAGGUGAACCUGGAGAGAAUCUUCUUUCAAUGAAAACUGAACAAAUCUAUGAAACAAUUAACAUAAAGGAUACUCUCCAAUUGCCAGUAGUAUCAACUUCUACAAAUACCGGAGAAAGCAGUAAAAGAGAACUUGACAAGGUAUCAUAAGAAGAAGAAUAAAAAAAACUAACCGUUGGAACUACCUCAUCUAGAAAGAGACAACAGACUGAACGAGCAACUCCAACCAAAAAAACUACAUCUUCUAGCAAAAGGGAGGGUAUCAAACCAGUCACUCCAACUAAGAAAAAGUAAAGGCCAGUAAACUAUGUAGAGUGCUUUC